GAUGGGCUGACCUUCGCAGGUCGGCUUUGAAAGCCUCGUCUAUGUCUUAUUACAAACGCUUCAGUUCAGAAUGUAAUCAAGUUGCUUUAAUGCAAAUUAAAUACAACUUUCAGCAACGGAUCUCUUGGCUCUCGCAUCGAUGAAGAACGCAGCGAAAUGCGAUAAGUAAUGUGAAUUGCAGAAUUCAGUGAAUCAUCGAAUCUUUGAACGCACCUUGCGCUCCUUGGUAUUCCGAGGAGCAUGCCUGUUUGAGUGUCAUGAAAUUCUCAACCUUCAAAACUUCCUUGUUGCGAAGGCUUGGACUUGGAGGUCGUGUCGGCGUCGCUGUCGACUCCUCUGAAAUGCAUUAGCGUGAAUCUUACGGAUCGCCUUCGGUGUGAUAAUUUCUGCGCCGCGGCCGUGAAGUAUAAUAGUGUUCGUGCUUACAACUGUCUGCAAAGACAAUUCUUCUUGACAAUCUGACCUCAAAUCAGGUAGGACUACCCGCUGAACUUAAGCAUAUCAAUAAGCGGAGGA
rnacentral:rRNA from 1 species